CUGCAGGCUGCAACUCGCCUGCACGAAGUCGGAAUUGCUAGUAAUCGUAGGUCAGCAUACUACGGUGAAUACGUUCCCGGGCCUUGUACACACCGCCCGUCAAACCAUGAGAGUUGGCAACACUCGAAGUCGGUAGUCUAACCGCAAGGAGGACGCCGCCGAAGGUGGGGUUGAUGAUUAGGGUUAAGUCGUAACAAGGUACC
rnacentral:rRNA from 1 species